GGAAAAGAAACUAACAAGGAUUCCCCUAGUAACUGCGAGUGAAGCGGGAAGAGCUCAAAUUUAAAAUCUGGCGGCUUUUGGUCGUCCGAGUUGUAACCUGGAGAGGCAUUUUCUGCGUUGGACCGUGUACAAGUCUCCUGGAAUGGAGCGUCAUAGAGGGUGAGAAUCCCGUCCAUGACACGGACCGCCAAUGCUCUGUGAUAUGCCUUCGAAGAGUCGCGUUGUUUGGGAAUGCAGCGCAAAAUGGGUGGUAAAUUCCAUCUAAAGCUAAAUAUUGGCGAGAGACCGAUAGCGAACAAGUACCGUGAGGGAAAGAUGAAAAGCACUUUGAAAAGAGAGUUAAACAGUACGUGAAAUUGUUGAAAGGGAAACGCUUGAAGUCAGUCGCGUUCUUUGGAACUCAGCCUUACUUCGGUUUGGUGUACUUUCCAUGUGAACGGGUCAACGUCAAUUUUGGCCGGUGGACAAAGACAAGGGGAAUGUAGCGUUGCUUCGGUGACGUGUUAUAGCCCCUUGUUGUAUAUGCCGGCUGGGAUUGAGGACUGCAGCACGCCCUUGUGGCCGAGGGGGUCGCCCCUACGUACCGUGCUUAGGAUGUUGGCAUAAUGGCUUUAAGCGACCCGUCUUGAAACACGGACCAAGGAGUCUAACAUGCUUGCGAGUGUUCGGGUGGAAAACCCUUGUGCGUAAUGAAAGUGAAAGUUAGGAACCUUCUCGCAAGAGAGGGUGCACUGACGCCCGGCCCUGAGGUUUUCUGACGGUGCUGCGGUAGAGCAAGUAUGUUGGGACCCGAAAGAUGGUGAACUAUGCCUGAAUAGGGCGAAGCCAGAGGAAACUCUGGUGGAGGCUCGUAGCGAUUCUGACGUGCAAAUCGAUCGUCAAAUUUGGGUAUAGGGGCGAAAGACUAAUCGAACC
rnacentral:rRNA from 1 species